rnacentral:rRNA from 1 species
UACGGGGGGAGCAAGCGUUGUUCGGAUUUACUGGGCGUAAAGGGCGCGUAGGCGGCCUGCUAAGUCGAACGUGAAAUCCCUGGGCUCAACCCAGGAACUGCGUCCGAUACUGGUUGGCUUGAAUCCGGGAGAGGGACGUGGAAUUCCAGGUGUAGCGGUGAAAUGCGUAGAUAUCUGGAGGAACACCGAUGGCGAAGGCAGGUCUCUGGGCCAUAACUGACGCUGAGAAGCGAAAGCAUGGGGAGCGAACAGG